GAUGAACGCUGGCGGCGUGCCUAACACAUGCAAGUCGAACGGACAUUUUUUGGAAAGUUCUUCGGAACUGGAAUCUAAAUGUUAGUGGCGGACGGGUGAGUAACGCGUGAGCAAUCUGCCUUUCAGAGGGGGAUAACAGCCGGAAACGGCUGCUAAUACCGCAUAAUGCAUUGGAUUCGCAUGUUUCUGAUGCCAAAGAUUUUAUCGCUGAAAGAUGAGCUCGCGUCUGAUUAGCUAGUUGGCGGGGUAACGGCCCACCAAGGCGACGAUCAGUAGCCGGACUGAGAGGUUGAACGGCCACAUUGGGACUGAGACACGGCCCAGACUCCUACGGGAGGCAGCAGUGGGGAAUAUUGCGCAAUGGGGGCAACCCUGACGCAGCAACGCCGCGUGAUUGAUGAAGGUCUUCGGAUUGUAAAAAUCUUUAAUCAGGGACGAAGAAAAUGACGGUACCUGAAGAAUAAGCUCCGGCUAACUACGUGCCAGCAGCCGCGGUAAUACGUAGGGAGCAAGCGUUAUCCGGAUUUACUGGGUGUAAAGGGCGUGUAGGCGGGCUUGCAAGUUGGAAGUGAAAUCUCGGGGCUUAACCCCGAAACUGCUUUCAAAACUGCGAGUCUUGAGUGAUGGAGAGGCAGGCGGAAUUCCCAGUGUAGCGGUGAAAUGCGUAGAUAUUGGGAGGAACACCAGUGGCGAAGGCGGCCUGCUGGACAUUAACUGACGCUGAGGCGCGAAAGCGUGGGGAGCANACAGG
rnacentral:rRNA from 1 species